UACGGAGGGAGCGAGCGUUGUCCGAAGUUACUGGGCGUAAAGCGCGCGUAGGCGGGGAAUUAAGUGAGAAGUGAAAGGCUGGGGCUCAACCUCAUGCAGUGCUUCUCAUACUGGUUCUCUUGAGGGCGGUAGGGAGAAGUGGAAUGGCUGGUGUAGCGGUGAAAUGCGUAGAUAUCAGUCGGAACACCGAUGGCGAAGGCGGCUUCUUGGGCCGUUUCUGACGCUGAGGCGCGAAAGCCAGGGGAGCGAACGGG
rnacentral:rRNA from 1 species